rnacentral:lncRNA from 1 species
UCAAUUCCCAUCCAGAGAUUCCAAGGCUUGCUCAAAUUGUUGUUGAAGAAUGUCAGGGUUUGCCGCUUGCUCUUAUAACUGUAGCACGUGCCAUGUCUAGUAGGAGGGGCCCUAGGGAAUGGCAGCAUGCAAUUGAUGAACUACAGAGUAAUCCGUUCAGAUUUGCAGGUAUGGGAAAUCUUGUCCUGCCUAUUCUGAGGUUUAGCUAUGAUAGCCUAAGUGAUGAUGUCCUCAAAAUUUGUUUCCUAUAUUGUUCUUUAUUUCCAAAAGAACAUAAUAUUAGGAAAGAUGAACUUAUUGAACUCUGGGUUGCUGAGGGAUUUUUAAAUAGGGCUGAUCCUCGAAAUGAAGGGGAAUAUAUUAUUGGAAGUUUAGAACUUGCAUGUCUACUAGAAAAGGGGGAAUACUCCGAAGAUUUUGUUGUGAUGCAUGACGUUAUUCGUGACAUGGCCUUGUGGUUAGCUUCUAAUGAGUGCAAGAUUGUGGUACUAGAAGAUGAUAAGUCUAGUCAACAGAACAAGUCUGAUGAUUUCAAAGAGGCUUUUAGAGUGUCAGUUUGGGGUUCUGGUGUUGAGAUUCUCCGUGAAGCACCGUCUUGUCCUCAGCUGCGAACCUUGCUUAUCAGGUUCAGCGAAUUGGAAAAAUUUCCAAGUAGAUUUGCUAAAUCUAUGCAUGCCUUGGCAGUUUUGGACUUGUCAUAUAAUCUUGAUUUGGUUAAGUUGCCUGAGGCGAUUGGUAAAUUGAUUAACUUAUGCUAUCUGAAUCUUUCAAACACAAGAAUAGGACAACUUCCGACUGGGAUUACAUAUUUGAAAAACCUGAAAAUUCUUCGAUUAGAUGGUAUGCGGUAUCUUGCAUUUGUACCUUGCCAAGUGAUAUCAAGUCUUUCGUCAUUACAAGUAUUUAGCUGGUUCUCAACUGAACUUGUUGAGUUGCAUUAUGUGGAUUCUACAAGUGUUUUGGCUGAGUUGGAAAGCCUGGAAAACAUUCACGAUAUAAGUGUUACCUUAUGUAAUGUGGAUGCAGUCAAUAGAGUCAAGUCCUCCCCCAAGUUACAAAGCUGUAUCAAAAGACUAGCGGUUGUACUCAUGGCUUCUUUCUUGCUCCCACUUGACUUAAGGAUGGAUCAUCUUGAAACACUUGAAAUAGAUCGUUGUUCUCUGGAGAGUAAAAAUGAUUAUUUUGGAGAUCAGGGAAGGACAAGGACCUACUGUUUCCGUAACCUUCGUCAUCUAUCUGUCAAAACCUGUCCCUGUAUGACAGAUUUGAAAUGGAUCAGAUACGCUCCAAACCUUCAAUUUCUUUAUGUAAGCUACUGUCCCAGAUUAUCAGAAAUAAUUGGCACUUAUGAAUCACCUGGGACUUCUGAAAUUGAAGAAAGUCAAGACUUCUUCUCAAACCUCAUGGUGAUUGAUCUUCGGCAUCUACCAAGUCUAACAAGCAUAUGUUGCGGAGUCGUGCCGUUUCCUUCCCUCCAAACUAUUUCUGUAAACGGCUGCCCAAGUUUGAGAAAACUCCCAUUAAACUCCGGAAGUGCAAAGAAUAGUUUGAAUGCAAUCCGUGGUAGUAGAGAAUGGUGGGAUCGGUUAGAGUGGGAGGACGAAGACACCAGGAAUGUUUUUGCAUCAAAAUUUCUUGAACUCUAAACUCAUCGUACGGGUAUGUUCAAACCUUUCUUUGAUCUCUUAUUUUCAUUUUGUUACCUUGAAAUUACUGUUAGAUUUGAAACUUCUUACUUUUUGUCAUCUCAUAUAUCAGCUUCAAAAUCAUAUAAUCUGUUAUGAUUCAUAUGAUUGUUAAAAGAAUCUAUGAAUUGAGAGUUUAGUAUUCCAAUAAUCCUUUGUUAAUCACGUCUCCAUUACUUUAGAUCUACGAUAACACGGAAGAGUGUUUUUUUUUUUCCUACUUAUGACUGUUUAGACUAUUUAUGUCCAAAAUUAUUUUUCAGGUAGCAGACUGUCUCCAUUGAAGACUGCUUGAAGAUUGGAGUUGAAGACUGAAUCAUCAAAAUGUUUGUACAAACUGUGUGGCUCCAAUUGGUGUUUAUAGCGUGUGAUGCAUCUUUUUUGUUAUUUACUUUUCCAUUGUGUUGGGUGUGGAAUUUGUUCCAAGUAGACACUGAGAGAUUGUACCAAACUUGUGGCCUGUGAUUGUUUUGUUCUUACAUAUAAUGAACCUGCUGCUGGUGCUUUACAUCUAUAUCGUCCAUAUAAGUUAUUCGAAACUGUUAAAAGUCUGUUAAUUUUAUGUUGGUGACGUGGCUGCUGAUGUGGCAAAGGCCACUGCUCAAGUUAGUUAAAGUUGUUACAGGUCUGUAACAAACUUGCAAACCCGGUGUAAAAGCAGAGCAGCAGCUGAUCAACAAUCAACACUUUCAAUCAUCAUUCUGGCGUACUGAGAGAGUUAUAGAGGUUCAUCUUUGCUUCAUUCCCUCCCUUAAUUUUCGUACUAUUUUUGAAUUCUUUAUCUAUUUGAUUCAUUAAGAAAUCACGUAUUGUAUUUAAAAUUAGGAUUAAUUUCAAUUAACACCACUCAAUGUUUAAGGAAACCUCAUUUUACGCUCAGACCUUUCAGAACUAUUUAUUCCGCCCCCCACUUCACAACAUUGUUAAGUCCAACGGUUGACUGUCAGUGCGCAAAAAGGAAAUUUAAAAAAAAAAAAAAACCCCUUUUUUUUACUUCAAUAAUUAAACACAAAAUGAAUUGACAAAUUUAUCCCAAAACAGAAGGCAUAGGGAUGUAAAAUGGAUCCUUGUGUGCUAGCAACCGAUUGCUGUAAGUGCAGGUGGCGGCGGCGCAAGAGGACGCACUCGACGGCAUUCGCCGGUGAAGGUACGCGGCGGUUGCUGUAAUUGCCCUUGAAUUUGAAAUUCAUUUUUAAGUUAUUCAAGGACGAAUUAGCAUUUAACAGACUGGGGUGGGGUCAAAUGAUACUACCCCUUAAAAUUAUUCAGUUUGAUGCACAAAAGUUGACCCUCAUAUAUGAGGAGUAAGUCUUCUCUGGUGGCUUUCAGUAAAUAUUUUUAUAAUCAUAGCACUUGCAUCUUGUAAGCAAUCCAUUAGUUUUAUUGUGAGGGCAUAUUACAAUUUCCAUUUUUUUGAACUGGAAAUUUGUUCUGGGGAUCUCUGACAGAUUCAUGGAUUGUGUGAGCCCAAUCUUGGAUAUUUUUACUCGAUUGUGGAACUGCACUGCAGCUAAAAGCUUUUACAUUAGGCAUCUUGAAGAUAACCUAAAGUCUUUGAGUGAAAAGAGAAGUAAACUUGAAGAUCUCAAUGAAGAUGUCAAGAGAAGGGUUGAGACAGAAGAGCAACAGCAACAGCGUAAGCGUAAGCAACUAGUGGAAGGGUGGUUGAAUGAUGUAGAAUCGGAAAUAAAAGAAGUGGAUGGUAUUUUACAGAAGGGAUACCAAGAGAUUGAAAAAAAAAUGUUUGGGAAGUUGUUUUACUAGAAACUGUUACUCCAGUUACAAGAUGGGAAAGAUCAAAGACGGUGACUGAGAAGAUCCCUAGAGUAACGCAACUAAGACGAAAAGGGCAAGAUUUUGAAAGUGUUUAUGUUACCUACGAGCUGCCACGACCUCCAGUGGAUGGGUUGGCGAUGGAGAAAACAGUGGGUAUAGACUCAACACUCAAUAAAGUUUGGGGAUGCAUUGAAGAUCAGAGUGAGCAAACUCUUGGGUUUUAUGGAACGGGAGGUGUUGGUAAGACCACCCCCUUAAAGAAACUUAACAAUAAGUUUCUGGAUAUGAAUCGUCAUCUUGAUCUGGUGAUUUUCAUUGCAGUGUCCAAAGAAGGAAAUUUAGGGAAAAUUCAAGAGGUAUAUGCAAAAAAUUGGACAUUUCAGAUUACAUUUGGAACAUGAAAGGGGAUUAUGAUAGACCUGUUGAGAUUUUGAUAAGCUUGAGAAUAAAAAAUUUUGUGCUUCUCCUAGACGAUGUAUGGGAGUGAUUAGAUCUCUCAAAAAUAGGAGUUUCUCUUUCUGACUGUCAAAAUGGGUCCAAAAUUGUGUUUACUACUCGCUCAGGGGAGGUAUGCAGUCAAAUGGAAGCUCAUAGGAAAUUUAAAAUGGAAUGUUUGUCACAGAAGCAGCCCUGGAUUUGUUUCGCUACAAGGUGGGUGAAGAUGUAUUCAACUCCCAUCCUGAGAUACCAACGCUUGCUCAAGCUGUCGUUGGAGAAUGCAAAGGCUUGCCACUUGCUCUUAUUACGAUAGCUCGUGCUAUGUCUAGUAGGAGGAGCCCCAGGGAAUGGCAGUAUGUAAUUGAUGAAUUACAGCGUAACCCAUCUAGAUUUGCAGGUAUGGGGAAUCUUGUCUUUCCUAUUUUGAGGUUUAGCUACGAUAACUUGACAGACGAUACUCUCAAAACUUGUUUCCUAUAUUGUUCCUUAUUUCCAGAGGAGAAUAACAUUAGGAAAGAUGAGCUUAUAGACCUUUGGAUUGGGGAGGGAUUUUUAAGUGAUUUCCGUAGCAUAACUACUGCACGGAAUCAAGGAGAAUAUAUUAUUGGAAGUUUGAAACUUGCAUGUCUACUUGAAAGUGGUGAAUAUUCUGAAGAUUUUGUUAAGAUGCAUGACGUUGUUCGUGAUAUGGCGUUGUGGUUAGCUUCUAAUGAGAGCAAGAUUUUGGUACAAAGGUCUAGUGAUUGCACAAAUAAAUCAGCUGAUAGCUGGAGGGAAGAUUUUAGAUUGUCACUGUGGGGUUCGAGCAUUGAAUAUCUCCCUGAAACACCUUGUCCUCAUCUACAAACUUUGCUUGUAAGGUUUACUGUGUUGGAAAUAUUUCCACAUAGAUUCUUUGAAUCUAUGGGUGCUUUGAAAGUUUUGGACUUGUCAUACAAUCUUGACUUAACUCAGUUGCCUGCGGAAAUGGGUGCAUUGAUCAAUUUACGCUGUCUUAAUCUUUCAAAUACAAGUAUAGAAGAGUUGCCAAGUGAGAUUAUGUAUUUGAAAAACCUGAAAAUUUUACUUUUAGAUGGUAUGCGGCAUUUUCACCUAAUUCCAGCAAGAGUAUUCUCAAGUCUUUUGUCAUUAAAAGUAUUUAGCUUGUUCUCAACUGAACUUAUUGAAUUGCAUCGUAUGCCUCCGAAUCAGACAACCAUCCUAGAUGAGCUAGAAUGCCUGGGAAAUCAAAUUUAUGAGAUAAGUAUCACUUUAGGUUCUGCCAGUGCCUUAUUUAAAAUCAAUUUCUCUUGGAAAUUAUGUAGCUGUAUUAAAAGACUAACAAUUAUGCACAAUUUGGACUCGCACUCCAUCGAUUUGAGGAAUAUGAUGCAUCUUGAAACACUUAAUAUAGUUGAAUGUUCUCUGGAGAGGGUAAAUCCUACUUUUAACGGAUGGACCAAUUUCCAUAACCUUCAUCAUCUGUCUAUCCGUGUAUGUCCUGUUAUUAGAGAUUUGACAUGGAUCGGAGAAGCUCCAAACCUUCAGUUUCUUUCUUUAGUAAACUGUCAAGCAUUAUCUGAAAUAAUAGAAUCAGCUGGGUCUUCAGAAGUUGCAGAAAGCCACAACUAUUUCGAAAAUCUAAUGGUGAUUGAUCUUGAUAGUCUUCCAAGCCUAAGAAGGAUAUGCCAUGGAACCAUGUCAUUCCCUUCUCUCCAAAAUGUAUCGGUAACCAACUGCCCAAAUUUAAGAGAACUUCCUUUUAACUUCGACAGUGCAAAGAACAGUUUAGUCUCAAUACGAGGAAGUGCAGAAA